UUCCAAUUAUUCAACAGACUUUGCACAAACCCUGAAUCAUAUAACACUGUGUAAGGACCAUAGCAGCUGCAAUGUUCAACUCU